CCCUGCGGCCUUCCCUUUGCCCCAAAGCCUGACUUGGAGUGUUUGGUGAGCACACCUGCUAGCUACUGGUGUGAACCAGAAACCAAAUGCCCUGGUAGAAGUGUGGAGUUUUGUGCACACACACUUGAUAUUGUGUGUGUUUCAGCUUUAAAGCUCUGGUUGUAGCCCUGAAGUGCACUGUGUGAUUGGUGACCAGGAGCAGCGGUUUCAGGUGAGGGGAGCAGUGAGCAGCAGCGGUGGCCGUGCUCAGGAAUCAAUAAGGUGAUUUAACCCCCAAUUCCAACCCUUGAUGCUGAGUGCCAAGCAGGGAGGCUCUUCUUCCCGUUCUCCUUGAUGGUUUCGUGCCCGUCGGGGACCAGCUUGGCUUCACCCCGGAAAGUGGACGCCUCCUCCCGCAUCCACCUGAGCAAACCCUCGGGGGUCUUCCGGCCGAGUUUCGCCUCUAUGUCUCUCAGAUCCGGCGUGUUCUCACAAGCAGCGCCUUCGUCCAUCAUGGUCAUGGGUUGAUAACACAGACGGAUUUUCUCCGGUGUUUUUCUUAGAAAAUGUUUUACUUAUUCCUGACGGCGUGACGUGUGUCGUCACAUGGCAGCCCAGCUGAGGCGGACUGCACCAGCCCAGAAAAAACAAACAGUCAGCAUCCAACAACGCAGGAAGAUAUAACGGAACGGGAACCGUGUGCUACGUGUGGGGUUGCUGAGUAAAUGAAGUGAAGUCUAGCGGUAUUAGUGCGUCUCCAGGCUCCGUGUGACACCGAAGCAGGCCGAGGAGGAGAAGUGAACCCGGCUGCGAGCCCCCAAACAGCGUCUCCACUGCGCACAUUCCACCUGCAUGAUGACAGCUUGCAGCCGCCGCAGAGAAGUAAAAAGCCCAGACUGACCAGAUAGCGUAUGACACCGCACAGCUUCCGGGAAAAGCAUUUCAAAGUUAAACACCGAAAGGACGGCACGUAUACGAACUAGCAAAAUAAAACACCCACAAUCUAAAAAGGGAAACAGAGUUGACGAUUUCGCGUUUAACAAAAGAUUUGAACAAAUUGUUUGAUCCGUUUGGAGAUUACUCGUAUUUGCCACACACUGCCAGUGAGUUUUGGUAUUGGAAAAAAAUAUUGAUAUUGUCAAAUGUUGACUUGAAGAUAAAUCACAUUUAAACAAACAA